rnacentral:lncRNA from 1 species
CGAAUGGAUCAACGGCCAACAUAGUUUCAAGAUCCACGUACCAGCAACCUCCUUAAAAAAACAACAGGCAUAAUAGCUAUUUCGAGCAUAACAUUCCACAACCACAAGGACUGAUACGAAAAAGAAGACGGUACCAGAGUGGAGGUUGACCUGACGACUUGUGUAACACCCCGUUUUCCCAACAUAAAAAUUUCAUAACAAAUAAUCAGAGUUUUCCACAUAAACGGAAUGCUACACUUCUCAAAAAUCAUAAAUGAAAUAAUUAACUAAUUAUCCUUCCAAAAAUCAUCAACAUAAAUAUUCAAAACUUCGCAGCGGAUUUAUUUCAACAAUAUAAAUAGUCUUGGUACGAAGGCCUCAUCAAAACAUCUCAUAAAAAUUCAAUGAACAACUUAAUCAUGUAUAUUCAUAAGCAACAACAUAUUCAUCAUCUUAUAAUAAUAUAAACAACAACAUGAUCAUUAAUAUUCCAUGGUUUGUCAUCAAUCAACAACUUCAACGAUUCGACGACGACAACGUCAACCUGACAACACAGCUACGUGAGAGUACACCACCUCUUAUAAUACGACAACGUCAGAGUACACCACCUCUUACAAAAUAACAACGUAAGGGUACACCACCUCUUAUAGAAUAACAACGUAAGAGUACACCACCUCUUAUAAACAACAACGUAGACAACACUAACAACUUAAGACUCCAAUACUUUGAAAAGACAACUUACAACUUUACAACUUAGACCAACACCAUUUAGACAUAUGCAGCAAGUUACCAUCAAUAAUAAUCAUUGUUAUCGUGAUUUUCGGGUGUCAAGUCAUUAAUUAGGCUUGAACCUUUCAAUCUUUGAUAUUCUCUAUUUUUUCUUGGGAAGGGCAAAAUUGAGAAAAACCCUUAGAGUCUAAGUUCGGGGGUCGUUUUCGCUACGGGAAGGUGUUAGGCACCCGGAACGAUUAUGGUAUUCCAUAAGAACCGUUCUCCUAAGUUUAUUCUUACGCUUUAUUUUUAUUGCCUANNN